UUUUCUUGGGCCCGAUGCCACGUCUCAGGUAGCCACAAGCCUUGACCCGAGAUGCUACAUUGUGCCAACAAAGAUUUUCACAUUUGAUAGGAACCUGUGGCUGUGAUUCAGUCGGUACACAGAGCCGUUUUUUGUGAUGACA
rnacentral:snoRNA from 1 species